rnacentral:lncRNA from 1 species
GCUGUGCAGCAGGAGACAGUACACAUACAGCUAACAGCACUUAUAAAGAACACCUGCAUUUCUGUUACAUACAGAAGAGUGCAUUUUGCAUCUGCAAAGAUGAACAUGUCAUGUCGUGAGGUGCUGAUUCACGAUAGACGUACAAUAAAAAGUUACUGGGAACAGAUAAUUGAACGACACUGUCAAAUUGCUGAAAAUGAAGAUGCAAGAAUGAAGAACAGUGCCUUGUCCAAGUUGCGGGGUGAAUGGAUCACAAAACUUGAAAGCCGAACAAAGCACCUGAAGAGCUUUAAUGAGGAUCUCCUAAAAAAGAAGAGUGUAGCCCAGAUGACGUCAAGCGUAGGUUAAUGCACCUGAAUAUACUGCAUAACACAGGAGGUAGUAGUUAGCAGUUUGGCAUUCCAUAGUUCUCUAAAUUAUUUCAGACAACAGAUGUUACAACUUUAGAUUCACUGUUAAAGUGAUAGUCUUUACUUUCCAGACAUAUAAAACAUAGAAAUGUUUUAUCCUUUCUAAUUAUUGAUUGCCAUACUUGCCAUAAGUGAUUUAUUCUAAUCUGCUGACUGUUAUGGAAUCAAUUGAUUUCUUGGCAAGAAUGUUACCGUAACUGGAAGAAUAUGGAGUCUCAUAGAUGUUUUCAUUUUUCCUUCAAUUCAACUCAACGUGAAAAUAAAGGCUUUAAAAACCAGAUGUGUAGUACCCAUAGUAUAGUAACUAUAGUUACUAGUAUCUAUAGGAAAACUUGAAAGUCAUCUGCCUUGCUCUAUAACUCUAGGUAACUAACCUACAAGUACUUAAAAUAUAUAGAAAGAACAUAGAUCACACUAUGGUUAAUUUAGCUACUCAAAGUUUUUUAUUUGUCACUUCUUUUUUAUUUUAUUCAUUUCUUCUUACAAAAUUAAAAAGAGGUUACACUGAAGAGCAUAAAUAGGCAGAAAUAAUCUCUGUCGUAUGUCACACAGGUGAUAAUUGUUCUCGCCAGGAUCUGCAGCUGUGGGUUUUUUAUUGGAAUUAAUUUCUCAGAGUUUGUGCAUACCAAUUUUUAAAAUGUUAUAUUAAUAACUGCUAAGUUUUAAACCAUACAUCCUACACUGCUGUAUGUCUUAUUAUCAGUAGAUCAGAAAGUUAAGUACUCGGCUUAAAGCUGUCACAAUUGUCAAAAUGUUAAUGAACGACUGACUACAUGAAUGUCAAAUUUGUUGAGGUGGUUCACAUAAGUUAAAAUAAGGUGUGAGUGUGUAAGUGAAAGAAGGGCUUAAAGUCAGU